rnacentral:lncRNA from 1 species
CCCGCGCAUUUAAUGAUUCCACAUUUAGAAUAAUCGAACGUUCAUUAAUAGAAAAGAGCCUUCAAACAAAGAUUAUUUCUGAUACAAAGAUAACCCUAGUUGAUUAUAACAUUUUUUUGACUUAAAUCUAAUCCAAAAUCAUAUUGGAUCAACAUAGACCCAUUAUAAGAUUUUUCCUCAAGUCAGAGAUAUGAUGUACGUGAUGUAAGGUUAAUAUAACAAUUCAGGAUCUCAUCAAAAAAGAAUAGUCAUAAAGUAUUAUUUAGGUUCUUUGACUCCGUAAAUUAUCCAAAAUCUUCUCAAUG